UACGUAGGGGGCUAGCGUUGUCCGGAAUCAUUGGGCGUAAAGAGCGUGUAGGCGGUCCGGUAAGUCCGCUGUGAAAGUCGGGGGCUCAACCCUCGAAUGCCGGUGGAAACUGUCAGGCUCGAGUCCGGAAGAGGCGAGUGGAAUUCCUGGUGUAGCGGUGAAAUGCGCAGAUAUCAGGAGGAACACCAAUGGCGAAGGCAGCUCUCUGGGACGGUACUGACGCUGAGACGCGAAGCGUGGGAGCGAACAGG
rnacentral:rRNA from 1 species